GAUGAACGCUGACAGAAUGCUUAACACAUGCAAGUCUACUUGAUCCUUCGGGUGAAGGUGGCGGACGGGUGAGUAACGCGUAAAGAACUUGCCUUACAGACUGGGACAACAUUUGGAAACGAAUGCUAAUACCGGAUAUUAUGACUGAGUCGCAUGAUUUGGUUAUGAAAGCUAUAUGCGCUGUGAGAGAGCUUUACGUCCCAUUAGUUAGUUGGUGAGGUAACGGCUCACCAAGACGAUGAUGGGUAGCCGGCCUGAGAGGGUGAACGGCCACAAGGGGACUGAGACACGGCCCUUACUCCUACGGGAGGCAGCAGUGGGGAAUAUUGGACAAUGGACCAAAAGUCUGAUCCAGCAAUUCUGUAUGCACGAUGAAGUUUUUCGGAAUGUAAAGUGCUUUCAGUUGGGAAGAAGUCAGUGACGGUACCAACAGAAGAAGCGACGGCUAAAUACGUGCCAGCAGCCGCGGUAAUACGUAUGUCGCAAGCGUUAUCCGGAUUUAUUGGGCGUAAAGCGCGUCUAGGCGGUUUAGUAAGUCUGAUGUGAAAAUGCGGGGCUCAACCCCGUAUUGCGUUGGAAACUGCUAAACUAGAGUACUGGAGAGGUAGGCGGAACUACAAGUGUAGAGGUGAAAUUCGUAGAUACUUGUAGGAAUGCCGAUGGGGAAGCCAGCCUACUGGACAGAUACUGACGCUAAAGCGCGAAAGCGUGGGUAGCAAACAGG
rnacentral:rRNA from 1 species